CCGGCGCCCGGCUCGGCUUCUUCGGCCGCGUGCUCGACGCGGGCACGCCCGCCGAGCGCUACGAGGCGGCGCUGGAGCAGAUCCAGCACGCCGAGC
rnacentral:tRNA from 1 species